rnacentral:rRNA from 1 species
UACGGUAGGGUGCGAGCGUUGUCCGGAAUUAUUGGGCGUAAAGAGCUCGUAGGCGGUCUGUCGCGUCGGUCGUGAAAACUUGGGGCUUAACCCUGAGCUUGCGGUCGAUACGGGCAUGACUGGAGUUCGGCAGGGGAGACUGGAAUUCCUGGUGUAGCGGUGAAAUGCGCAGAUAUCAGGAGGAACACCGGUGGCGAAGGCGGGUCUCUGGGCCGAUACUGACGCUGAGGAGCGAAAGCGUGGGGAGCGAACAGG